rnacentral:pre_miRNA from 1 species
GUUGUACUCCAUCCGUCCCAAAAUUCUUGUCUUACAUUUGUAUAGAUAUGAAUGUAUCUAGUCACAUUUUAGUAUUUAGAUACAUUCAUUUGUAGACAAAUCUAAGACAAGAAUUUUAGGACGGAUGGAGUAUUAG